rnacentral:rRNA from 1 species
GACGAACGCUGGCGGCGUGCUUAACACAUGCAAGUCGAACGGAAAGGCCCUGCUUUUGUGGGGUGCUCGAGUGGCGAACGGGUGAGUAACACGUGAGUAACCUGCCCUUGACUUUGGGAUAACUUCAGGAAACUGGGGCUAAUACCGGAUAGGAGCUCCUGCUGCAUGGUGGGGGUUGGAAAGUUUCGACGGUUGGGGAUGGACUCGCGGCUUAUCAGCUUGUUGGUGGGGUAGUGGCUUACCAAGGCUUUGACGGGUAGCCGGCCUGAGAGGGUGACCGGCCACAUUGGGACUGAUAUACAGCCCAGACUCCUACGGGAGGCAGCAGUUGGGAAUAUUGCACAAUGGGCGGAAGCCUGAUGCAGCAACGCCGCGUGCGGGAUGACGGCCUUCGGGUUGUAAACCGCUUUCGCCUGUGACGAAGCGUGAGUGACGGUAAUGGGUAAAGAAGCACCGGCUAACUACGUG